rnacentral:rRNA from 1 species
UACGGAGGAGGCAGGCGUUAUACGGAAUUCUUGGGCGUAAAGCGUCCGUAGGUGGUUGACCAAGUCUGCUGUCAAAGGGUGGGGCUUAACCUCAUAAAGGCAGUGGAAACUGGUGAGCUAGAGUGCGGUAGGGGUAAGGGGAAUUCCCAGUGUAGCGGUGAAAUGCGUAGAGAUUGGGAAGAACAUCGGUGGCGAAAGCGCCUUGCUGGGCCUGCACUGACACUGAGGGACGAAAGCUAGGGGAGCGAAAGGG